UACGUAGGGUGCGAGCGUUGUCCGGAAUUAUUGGGCGUAAAGAGCGUGUAGGCGGCCAGAUAAGUCCGCUGUGAAAUCUCGAGGCUCAACUUCGAGCUGUCGGUGGAAACUAUCUGGCUAGAGUCCGGAAGAGGAGAAUGGAAUUCCUGGUGUAGCGGUGAAAUGCGCAGAUAUCAGGAAGAACACCCGUGGCGAAGGCGGCUCUCUGGGACGGUACUGACGCUGAGACGCGAAAGCGUGGGGAGCAAACAGG
rnacentral:rRNA from 1 species